GAUGAAGAACGCAGCGAAAUGCGAUACGUAAUGUGAAUUGCAGAUCUCUCAGUGAAUCAUCGAAUCUUUGAACGCACAUUGCGCCCGCCAGUAUUCUGGCGGGCAUGCCUGUCUGAGCGUCAUUUCAACCCUCAUGCCCCUAGGGCGUGGUGUUGGGGAUCGGCCAAAGCCCGCGAGGGACGGCCGGCCCCUAAAUCUAGUGGCGGACCCGUCGUGGCCUCCUCUGCGAAGUAGUGAUAUUCCGCAUCGGAGAGCGAUGAGCCCCUGCCGUUAAACCCCCAACUUUCCAAGGUUGACCUCAGAUCAGGUAGGAAUACCCGCUGAACUUAAGCAUAUCAAUAAGCGGAGGA
rnacentral:misc_RNA from 1 species